GCCGGGCACGGUGGUGCACACCUGUAAUCCCAGCGACUUGGGAGGCUGAGAUAGGAGGAUCUUGAGUUUAAGGCUGGCUUCAGCAACUUAGCUGAGACCUUCAGCAACUUAGUGAGACCCUGACUCAA
rnacentral:sRNA from 1 species